GGAUCAUGUGAUUGGAGAAUCAUGUGACGUCGGGGCCCCGGCUCGGCAGGGUUGCGGGCGCCUGCCCCCGAUGGAUGACCUCAGGUGCCAGUAAUGAGGCACUGGAAGUGACAGGAGGUCCACCGAGAAGCCUGGCAUGGAGAGGUCCCGACGUGUCUCCCUGGCAGAGAGCUUGCUCCAGGCGGUCCCACAGCUGUUUCGGAGGCGGUGGUCUGGAUCAAGGAUACAGGCAGCUUCCCCCGCUUCCCUUCCUUCCACUUCUCUCAGCCUCUCCCUGAUUCUUCCAAUCGCCCUGCUGGAUCGUCUUCAUUAGGAGUCACCGUUCUGUCCCCACAGAAGAGCCACAAGGGCCCCAGGGGUCGGGCCUUUCCCCUCAAGCUCCUGAGUUGCCAGAUAAAACAUAGGAUUCCCAAUUACUUUUGAAUCUAGACUAGAAAUGAAAUUUUUUAUUAAAAUAAUUUUUUAACGUUUA